CAUUCGUGGAGGAGGACGCCGAAGGUGGGGCUGAUGACUGGGGUGAAGUCGUAACAAGGUAGCCGUACCGGAAGGUGUGGCUGGAUCACCUCCUUU
rnacentral:rRNA from 1 species